rnacentral:rRNA from 1 species
UGGGGAAUUUUGGACAAUGGGCGAAAGCCUGAUCCAGCAAUGCCGCGUGUGUGAAGAAGGCCUUCGGGUUGUAAAGCACUUUUGUCCGGAAAGAAAUCCUUGGCUCUAAUACAGUCGGGGGAUGACGGUACCGGAAGAAUAAGCACCGGCUAACUACGUGCCAGCAGCCGCGGUAAUACGUAGGGUGCAAGCGUUAAUCGGAAUUACUGGGCGUAAAGCGUGCGCAGGCGGUUUGCUAAGACCGAUGUGAAAUCCCCGGGCUCAACCUGGGAACUGCAUUGGUGACUGGCAGGCUAGAGUAUGGCAGAGGGGGGUAGAAUUCCACGUGUAGCAGUGAAAAUGCGUAGAGAUGUGGAGGAAUACCGAUGGCGAAGGCAGCCCCCUGGGCCAAAUACUGACGCUCAUGCACGAAAAGCGUGGGGAGCAAAACAGGACUAGAUACCCUGGUAGUCCACGCCCUAAAACGAUGUCAACUAGUUGUUGGGGAUUCAUUUCCUUAGUAACGUAGCUAACGCGUGAAGUUGACCGCCUGGGGGAGUACGGUCGCAAAGAUUAAAAACUUAAAAUGAAUUGACGGGGUCAUAGCUGUUUCCU